rnacentral:rRNA from 1 species
UGCAAGUCGAACGCUGAUUUCAGGGUAGCAAUAUUCUGAAGUCGGAGUGGCGCAAGGGUGCGUAACACGUGGGCAAUUUGCCAAGAAGUUUGGGAUAACUCGCUGAAAGGCGAGCUAAUACCGGAUGUGAUGUUUGGGAGGCAUCUCCUGAACCUUAAAGCUGGGGACCGUAAGGCCUGGCGCUUCUUGAUAAGCCCGCGGCCUAUCAGCUAGUUGGUGAGGUAAUGGCUCACCAAGGCUAAGACGGGUAGCUGGUCUGAGAGGACGACCAGCCUCACUGGAACUGAGAUACGGUCCAGACACCUACGGGUGGCAGCAGUCGAGAAUUUUUCUCAAUGGGCGAAAGCCUGAUGCAGCGACGCCGCGUGAGGGAUGACGGCCUUCGGGUUGUAAACCUCUUUCAGCAGGGACGAAGCGCAAGUGACGGUACCUGCAGAAGAAGCACCGGCUAACUACGUGCCAGCAGCCGCGGUAAUACGUAGGGUGCGAGCGUUGUCCGGAAUUAUUGGGCGUAAAGAGCUCGUAGGCGGUUUGUCGCGUCGGCCGUGAAAACUUGGGGCUUAACCCCAAGCUUGCGGUCGAUACGGGCAGACUUGAGUUCGGCAGGGGAGACUGGAAUUCCUGGUGUAGCGGUGAAAUGCGCAGAUAUCAGGAGGAACACCGGUGGCGAAGGCGGGUCUCUGGGCCGACACUGACGCUGAGGAGCGAAAGCGUGGGGAGCGAACAGGAUUAGAUACCCUGGUAGUCCACGCCGUAAACGGUGGGUGCUAGGUGUGGGGGGCUUCCACGCCCUCUGUGCCGCAGCUAACGCAUUAAGCACCCCGCCUGGGGAGUACGGCCGCAAGGCUAAAACUCAAAGGAAUUGACGGGGCCCGCACAAGCGGCGGAGCAUGUGGAUUAAUUCGAUGCAACGCGAAGAACCUUACCU